UCGUCCAUUAGGGAGACCUGAUUCGGUUCUGUGAAUAUAUCAGGAGAGCAUCUAUAAAGAAGAACAAAAACCUAGGAGCAAUCAUGCUCUAGCAGAUCUGUGUACCCUUCAGAUGACUAGGCAUUGCCAUCCUUAUGUUGGUUGCACCCACGUGACGGAGCGAAUUCACCAUGCCGCGGUGGUGAUGUUCAGCAUCGGCUACAAACUCUGACGGGGCGGGGCCUGACUUGAUGAUGAGGACAUUGAAAUUUGAUCUUGUUGAGGGCGACAAGGCGGAUGGAUGGAGCUUGUAGCGCUGCUGGAUGUUUUGUAUGCGGCACAAGUAUGUGUUGUCUAUUCCUCUCCUCUGUAGGACUCAAGAAGAUGUUUGCCGUUGAAGAGAAGGGAUUGAGAUGGGUAAGAAGAAGAGAAGAGAAUAGAAGAGAAGAGACACAACGUAGCUGUUAGGUGGUUCAUCACCUUGGUUAGAUAGAUUCUUGAUUUCAGAAUUGUGUUGCAAGUGUUUGUUUCCUGACUUGGUAACUAUCCCUCCCUGAUUUGGUUUCUUUAUGCAGUGAAUUUUUAAAUUCCCAA